rnacentral:rRNA from 1 species
AUUGAACGCUGGCGGCAUGCUUUACACAUGCAAGUCGAACGGCAGCGCGGGCUUCGGCCUGGCGGCGAGUGGCGAACGGGUGAGUAAUGCAUCGGAACGUGCCCAGUAGUGGGGGAUAGCCCGGCGAAAGCCGGAUUAAUACCGCAUACGACCUGAGGGUGAAAGCGGGGGACCGAAAGGCCUCGCGCUAUUAGAGCGGCCGAUGUCGGAUUAGCUAGUUGGUGGGGUAAAGGCUUACCAAGGCGACGAUCCGUAGCUGGUCUGAGAGGACGACCAGCCACACUGGGACUGAGACACGGCCCAGACUCCUACGGGAGGCAGCAGUGGGGAAUUUUGGACAAUGGGGGCAACCCUGAUCCAGCCAUGCCGCGUGCGGGAAGAAGGCCUUCGGGUUGUAAACCGCUUUUGUUCGGGAAGAAAUCCUCUGGGCUAAUACCCCGGGGGGAUGACGGUACCGGAAGAAUAAGCACCGGCUAACUACGUG